CGGCAAGAGCUCAAAUUUGAAAUCUGGCCUCUUCGGGGCCCGAGUUGUAAUUUGGAGAGGAUGCUUCGGGUUCAGCCCCCGUCUAAGUGCCCUGGAACGGGCCGUCAUAGAGGGUGAGAAUCCCGUCUGGGAUGGAUGGUUGUGCCCAUGUGAAGCUCC
rnacentral:rRNA from 1 species